UACGGAGGGAGCUAGCGUUGUUCGGAAUUACUGGGCGUAAAGCGUGCGCAGGCGGUUCUGCAAGUCAGAUGUGAAAUCCCCGGGCUUAACCUGGGAACUGCGUUUGAAACUACGGAGCUAGAGUGCGGCAGAGGGGGGUGGAAUUCCACGUGUAGCAGUGAAAUGCGUAGAUAUGUGGAGGAACACCGAUGGCGAAGGCAGCCCCCUGGGCCGACACUGACGCUCAGGCACGAAAGCGUGGGGAGCAAACAGG
rnacentral:rRNA from 1 species